rnacentral:lncRNA from 1 species
GCACAAGGAUCGAGGUAUACUUCCGGUGAAGUUAUUCUUGUGUAACCUAAAAACUACCAAAGAUCCAAGUUUUUCUCCAAUCGAUGCAGGUAUAUUUCCAGACAAUUCGUUAUCACCCACAUCUAAAACUCUUAAAGCUCCUAAAUUCCCCGAUUCCCAAGGAAGUUCACCAAUAAGGUUAUUGUCAUUCAGUUGUAACCAAACUAAUGAAGAAUUAAGAGUUAUAGAGUUUGGGAUGACGCCAGACAACCGAUUUGAGCUAAAUAUCAUGGUAAGCAACCGUUGUAGAUUCUCGAGACACUUUGGAAUUUUCCCAGUUAACCUAUUUCUGGAUAUAUCAAGAUAUCUCAAAUCUGUCCUUCUGCACAAUGACCUUGGAAUCGACUCAUUGAAUAGGUUAUUUCCCAGAAAUAAUGCAUUGUUAAGUCCAUAAUCAAACGCAUCAACAUUUCCCCCAUUGGGAAGGUUUGUCAAAGGUCCAGUGAGUUUGUUGUGAGAGAGAUCUAAGAAAGGAAUGAUGGGCAUCUUCCGCAACCAUGUCGGCAGAGGUCCCGAAAUUGAAGUAUUAGACAACACUAACUCCUCAAGUUUCCUUUGAUUAUGAAGCCAUUGUGGAAAUUCAUUUCCGAUAUUGCAAGAAUUGAGUCGAAGAGUUACCAAUUGGAAUGGAGGUAUCCACUCAUGUGAAAUAUUAAAGGUCAACUUCAUAUUAGAAGAAGUAUCCAAGUGCUUCAACAUCGAAAGGUUAGCAAAAUAGGCUUCAAAAAUUACUCCUUCCAAGGAAUUGUUUGAGAUAUCUAGAUACUGGAGUUUGUCAAGUUGCCUAAAGGAAACUGGAAUAGUCCCAUUUAGCAAGUUUGAAUGCACAGAAAUUGCUUGUAAUGAAACUAGUCUUCCUAUAUUUGUUGGUAUGUGACCCGUUAACGAAUUGGAUUCUAGAUAAAGUUUGGUCAAAGCUGCUAAUUUUCCAAAGGAUUCCGGAAUUGAACCACUCAAUUGAUUAAAAGAAAGGUCNUGAUAGGGAGUGGUAACACUCCUAAUAUUUUUUUUUCAAAAUUAAAAAAUAACAAUGAAACCUUGGAAUUUCAAAGGGGGGCCUCAUUUCCCAAAUACCAUAAAGAAAAUAAAUUUUCAUAAAUAUUCAUAUCAAAAUCUUUCCGUUGGAGAUCCAUGGGCAAGUUGGUAAUUUUAACUUGUAAAACCUAUUCACAAUAUAUAUAACUAGGUUAUAACCGUGGACACUACGGGUAAGAAAUUUAAAAAUAAUUUCAAUUAAAUUAUAACUUAAUUAUUGAGAAAUGUUUUGUCUGUAAUUUCAUGUAAAAUAAUUAGUUACUUUGGCAAAAAUUAAUAAUUUACACAUUUAUAUAAUUAAUCUUUAAUUUAAAAACGUAAUUUUAUAACAUAUGAGUCUAAUUAAUAUUUAAUAUUUAUUUAGGAUGUUAUUUAGAAAAAAACAUUAAAAUAUUUCAUAUGUAUAAUGAUAAGUAAAAUUAAGUUAAAUCUACUAAUAACAUUGUUAGAAAAUAAUAUAUAAAAUGGUUUUUUAAAAUUUAAAUUAAUUUUAAAAUAAAGUGAAAUGUAUAUACAUAUGCAUGGUAUAGUAUCCAAUAUCCUCAUAGACUUUCCCCAAACAUCAUUACAUUACACAUACCAACAACCCUAAACGAUUUCAUUUCUCUGCCACAACACACAGACAUUGUUUGUUCUGUAUUUUUCAAUCUAGACUCAAGCUCGGUCUCCAUCGAUUGAAGAUCAGAAGCAAAUAAUUAACGUUUUGUAUUUGAAACAAAUUAGAUCCAUGGGCAAGUUGGUAAUUUUAACUUGUAAAACCUAUUCACAAUAUACAUAAUUUGCACACACAAUAUGCACACAGCUAGCAAAAUUUGGGCUUCUUUUUCCUUCUGUUUCGUGUUUGGGGCAACUAAGCUCAUAACAAGGCCUGCUUCUACUCAAACCAUCGGAGAAAAAAGAGGAGAAACAACAAGCAAUCGAAAAAGAGAAAUUAAGAGAGAAAUCAGAGGAAGAAGGAGGGUUUUUUGCUUUUUCCGAUGCAUUCCAUGAAGAAUGUCAAGAUGUUAGUUAAGUGUGUGUUAGUUACAGAUUCUAUUAGAGAGUUAAUCCGUUGACUUUAUUGUUGACUCUCUUUCUAUGUAUAUAUAUUGAUCAGGGUCUGUAACCAUUAGUUCAUAAUAAUGAGAACCCACUUGACAUUUCUCUCUCUUUUACUUUCUCAAUCAUUUCAUGGUAUCAGAGCCCCGAUCUCUGUUUCUCCUUUCUUUCUUCCCUAAAUUGAUUGAAAACACAAUCAAUUUCUUUCUUUAGUUAGGUCAAACAAAAUCCCCAGUUUCAAGGUUUGAAUGUUGUGAUUUUUUCUUUUGAAAUAGCAACAAAUAUUACACAAUUUCAUGUUUAAAACAUCACGAAUUUUGUUUCUACUCAAUUGGAUGGAGAGAAUUAUCUAGUGUGGCGACAUCAAUUCAAAACUAUACUUCAAACCAUGGAUCUGGAGACAUACAUUGAUUCGGAUAUUUCUCCACCUGCAUCUACUUCACUAAAUUUCAUCACAUGGAAAAAGAUGGAUGGAUAUGUUCAAGCAUGUAUUUAACGCCACUCUUCAUGUCUCUGUUGCUCCCAUGGCGAUUGGAAUCAAAACCGCAGCAGAAAUUUGGAAAUUACUUGAAACUUCAUAUUUACAGUAGGCUUUUGCAAAGAAAUCUCAAUUGAGAAGUGAGUUACAGAGUAUAUCUCAAGGUGAACUUUCUAUCAGCUCAUAUUGUGAUAAAAUAAAGAUUCUUCAUGAGCAAUUCAAAUCAGUAGGUGAUUUAGUAUCUGAAUCAGAUCUCGUUCUUCAUUGUCUCCAUGGUCUUAAUUUUGCAUUUGAUAAUUUUGUUAUGAUGAUUGAAAACAAUGAUACCCCACCUUGUUUUGCCACAUUACGAUCAAAAAGAGCAGAUUAGAUACAUACAGAUUAACACAGUGACACCCUAAUUAGAAGUGUUUGAAGCAAAACCAGAAACAAAUAAAUGUAGAAAUGAAUAAAUAAAUAGCUAGUCAUUUACCUGAUUCUUGUUGGAGAUAACCAUGAAGAAAUGACAGGAUGGAGAGAUAAUUCUAUGUUCAAAAGCGUGAAAUUCUUUAUUAAUCACACCAACAGCAUUUACAGUUGAUAGAUAGACAUUUAUAUCUGUGAAACCAUCACAACAGUUCAUACAUGACAGUUAUAUCCUAUAUUAACCAACAUAACAGUUAAAUAACUAACCUAUAACUAAUUAACUGUCACUUAUAAUAUACUAGUCUAGCUUAUAACUUUAACAAUUCUUACUUGGUGUGAUAUAGAUGAAAAGGGACCAAUUAAGCAGUGGCAGCAGGAGAUCCAGAAAGAGAGAGCAGGACAUUUCCAGUUGAAAUCCUACCCCUCAUGGAUUUUCCGAAUUCCAAACAUAUGCAAUUCCCUAAUCUAACAACUUCAUCUUACACAAACACCGAAUCCAAAAAAUUUAAAAUUUAAACAACACUUAUAUUACAAAUGUCAUACAAAUAUAAAAUCUAUAUAGUAUUAAGCAUAAGUACAAUAUCAGUACUAAAAAGCAAAAUAUCUUUGAUGAUAUAUAUUCAAGAAUUAUUUGCAUUCUAGAGGAUCUAUGUGGUUUCUCUUCCUCUCUUCAGGUUGGUAAAUCUUACCACAACUGCAACAUAUAUUUUGUCCACAGUUUCAUCAGCGAACAUGAAAAGCUUGUGUCUCCAGUGCUUCUUGAACAACAAAACUCCAAUAACACCCCAAAACCCUGUUGCAAACCCACUCAUUAUGUCCACAUAAAACCAUAUCUUCAUCGGCGCAUUAGCUGCUUCAUAUUUCUCCUUGCUUCUUGUUGAUGAUGGGUCUUUGUGAUUUGAGCAAUUCUUCAGCAAUGGAGCUCCACAAAGAUCUUUGUUCCCAUUGUAUAUUGAUGGAUCAGUAAGGGUCUGCAACUGACGACCUGUUGGAAUUCGUCCUGUCAAGUUGUUGUGUGACAAAUUCAAAUGACUCAAAAAAGUCAAAGCUGCCAUGCUUGAAGGGAUCAUCCCGGUCAACUUGUUUCCAGAUAAAUCGAGAGAUUCUAACCUCGUCAUGUUCCCAAUGUUUUCUGGAAUCAUCCCACUGAGAUGAUUAUUUGACAAAUUCAGACCAAUCAGCAUAGAAAGUGCUGUGAGCUUGAGUGGAAUUUCUCCUACAAUUUUAUUGCUCGAAAGGUCCAUGUUGAAAACUAUAUCCCAAGUUUUUGUAUAUUCAAGAUCAACACCUUUCAGGACCUGAAUCACAUUCUUAUCUGAACUGAGGGUGGCAUUACCCAAAUUAACUGGGCUACUCUCAACCAUGGCCUUCAACUCUCCUAGACAAUGAGGUAUGCUUCCCGUUAGAAAGUUGUAUGCAACAUCCAAAAUUUGAAGAUUUGAAGCUUUGCACAAGGAUCGAGGUAUACUUCCGGUGAAGUUAUUCUUGUGUAACCUAAAAACUACCAAAGAUCCAAGUUUUUCUCCAAUCGAUGCAGGUAUAUUUCCAGACAAUUCGUUAUCACCCACAUCUAAAACUCUUAAAGCUCCUAAAUUCCCCGAUUCCCAAGGAAGUUCACCAAUAAGGUUAUUGUCAUUCAGUUGUAACCAAACUAAUGAAGAAUUAAGAGUU